GGUUCCAUGGCGCAAUUGGCUAGCGCGUCGUAAGUAAAUUUCUACCGCCUAAAACUUACUGUCGCUCACAUCAUUGUAGUGACUGUUAAUCAGGAGGUUCUGAGUUCGAGCCUCAGUGGGACCG